rnacentral:rRNA from 1 species
GACGAACGCUGGCGGCGUGCUUAACACAUGCAAGUCGAACGAAGUGGCGAACGGGUGAGUAAUGCCUAGGAAUCUGUCAGGUCGUGGGGGAUAACGUACGGAAACGGGCGCUAAUACCGCAUAAUAUCCUUUGACCCUAAGUCGGUUUAGCUAGUUGGUGGGGUAAAGGCGUACCAAGGCGACGAUCUGUAACUGGUCUGAGAGGAUGAUCAGGCACAAGGGAACUGAGACACGGUCCAGACUCCUACGGGAGGCAGCAGUGGGGAAUAUUGGACAAUGGGCGAAAGCCGGAUGCAGCCAUGCCGCGUGUGUGAAGAAGGUCUUCGGAUGGUAAAGCACUUUAAGUUGGGAGGCGUUACCAACAGAAUAAGCACCGGCUAACUACGUGCCAGCAGCCGCGGUAAUUC